rnacentral:lncRNA from 1 species
UAUAUGUUUUUAGUAAAAUUCCAAUUUAAAAAGCAAAUUAAAGCAAUGACCCCUAUAACAGAAUUAGAUUAUAGGGAGACAUUUUUGAAACAUUUUUAUAUAAGUAUCCUAUUUAUGUCAAAACAUUUAAAAAAAUCUACUAAGGUUUAAAUAUAAAGCUUAAUCUAAAAAAAAAUAAAAAAUUUCUCUACUCAACCAACCACACCCGGCCCACUCGGCCCGAUUAUAAUAAAAAAGAAAAAAAAAUGAUUUUCAUCUCCCAUUCUCCUCCUCCACCACCGCAGCCGACGAGGUAGGGUUCCGGUGGCUGAAGUUCGACCGCGGGGAUCUCGCAGGGACCGUAGAGGACUACGAUCGUUAUAUAUCCCUUCGCCACAGGUCAUUGGAGGAGUGGUUGCCAAAUAUCAAAACGGCCUUAUCUAUAGCAACCCCAUGUACAUAUAACAAUACUUUUAGAAAGUAUUGGUAAUUUAGUCAGCAGCACUUUUUUUUUUUAACUUGUACUGAUAUUUAAAAAUAUCGCUAUACACUGUUUUUGUUGUAGAGGAUAUAUAGAUAAAUGCAUCAUAUAUGUCACUACAUUAACAGUCCAU